rnacentral:rRNA from 1 species
GACGAACGCUGGCGGCGUGCUUAACACAUGCAAGUCGAACGAUGAAGCCUAGCUUGCUAGGUGGAUUAGUGGCGAACGGGUGAGUAAUACGUGAGUAACCUACCUUUAACUCUGGGAUAAGCCUGGGAAACUGGGUCUAAUACCGGAUACGACCAAUCUCCGCAUGGGGUGUUGGUGGAAAGCGUUAUGUAGUGGUUAUAGAUGGGCUCACGGCCUAUCAGCUUGUUGGUGAGGUAACGGCUCACCAAGGCGACGACGGGUAGCCGGCCUGAGAGGGUGACCGGCCACGCUGGGACUGAGACACGGCCCAGACUCCUACGGGAGGCAGCAGUGGGGAAUAUUGCACAAUGGGCGCAAGCCUGAUGCAGCGACGCCGCGUGAGGGAUGACUGCCUUCGGGUUGUAAACCUCUGUUAGCAGGGAAGAAGAGAAAUUGACGGUACCUGCAGAGAAAGCGCCGGCUAACUACGUG